AACGAACGCUGGCGGCAGGCCUAACACAUGCAAGUCGAGCGGACCCUUCGGGGUUAGCGGCGGUCGGGUGAGUAACGCGUGGGAACGUGCCCUUUGCUUCCGAAUAGCCCUUGGUAACUGGGAGUAAUACCGGAUACGCCCUUUUGGGGAAAGAUUUAUCGGUGAAGGAUCGGCCCGCGUUGGAUUAGGUUGGUGGUGGGGUAAUGGCCUACCAAGCCUACGAUCCAUAGCUGGUUUGAGAGGAUGAUCAGCCACACUGGGACUGAGACACGGCCCAGACUCAUACGGGAGGGAGCAGAGGGGAAUCUUAGAAAAGGGGGGAAGCCCUGAUAGAGCCAUGCCGCGUGAGCGAUGAAGGCCGUAGGGGUGUAAAGCUCUUUCACCGGGGAAGAUAAUGACGGUACCCGGAGAAGAAGCCCCGGCUAACUCCGUG
rnacentral:rRNA from 1 species